AUGACGUGGGCCUGUUAGCUCAGU
rnacentral:misc_RNA from 1 species